rnacentral:piRNA from 1 species
UCGAUGGUAAAAAUUAAAAAA